GAAGGAUCAUUAUCGAGCUAAGACGAAAAGUCUCCGAACGUGCACGCAUUCCAUGUGCGCGUAUACGUGAGCCGCACAGUGAGCUGCACACAUGUGGUGGUGGUGGCCGUCAGCCGUGUUUUUUUGGCAGACAAUGGUCUGUGGCUUGCUGUGUGUUGAGGGGGGAUAGGUGACGUAUUGGGCUAGUUAGAAAGGUACGUCGCUGGCGCCUAUCCUCUCGUUAUUCGUAAAAACGGUAUCCACUUUGGUGUCUGCGCCUCACCUAGCUAUUGCCUGGACCGUCGGUAGCUAUCAAAGGUGGGGAGGAAGCUCCUUGUCUUCAUGGCGAGUCGAGUAGACUUAAUGAGCCUCAGCGAGGAGGCCACCAAAACCCAAACACAACCAGUCUUUUGUUUGAAGUGUUGUGAAGGUACUUCCUCGUGUUGUGCCUUUGAAAUCGAGUAUAAAUCUUAGCGGUGGAUCACUCGGUUCGUGGAUCGAUGAAGAACGCAGCUAGCUGCGAUAACUAGUGCGAAUUGCAGACACAUUGAGCACUAAGAAUUCGAACGCACAUUGCGCCAUCGGGUUCAUUCCCGUUGGCACGUCUGGCUGAGGGUCGAAUUUGAUUGUCAAACAUCCGCGUGUUGUCGUCACACACACACGCGGUGUAUUCGGUGAGCUAUGGUGGUGUCGUUGCUGCUGUGCAUGUUGAGGCGCCUCUCUUCUCGGGAGGUGUCACCUCAUGUGCUGGGCCGCGCCGUCAUACCUUGCUUAGGCUAUGUUCCAUAUAUCGCUCGUUGUCAUUUGCUCCAUGCGAGGCGAUGAUGGCCGUCAAGUGUCGCUCUCUUUGUCCAUAGAUACGGCUCCGAGCACGUGUUUGCCAAUUGGCUAUCGGUUUGGAGUGCCCGUAUCGACCGCUGGAAAUGGAUGAGGGGGGUGAUGCCGGGUGGCUGUCACUUUGUUUUGACCUCAGCUCAGUCGUGACUACCCGCUGAAUUUAAGCAUAUAACUA
rnacentral:rRNA from 1 species